rnacentral:rRNA from 1 species
GAUGAACGCUGGCGGCGUGCUUAACACAUGCAAGUCGAACGGGAAAUAUUUCAUUGAGACUUCGGUGGAUUUGAUUUAUUUCUAGUGGCGGACGGGUGAGUAACGCGUGGGUAACCUGCCUUAUACAGGGGGAUAACAGUCAGAAAUGGCUGCUAAUACCGCAUAACCGCACAGGGCUGCAUGGCUCAGUGUGAAAAACUCCGGUGGUAUAAGAUGGACCCGCGUUGGAUUAGCUGGUUGGUGGGGUAACGGCCCACCAAGGCGACGAUCCAUAGCCGGCCUGAGAGGGUGAACGGCCACAUUGGGACUGAGACACGGCCCAGACUCCUACGGGAGGCAGCAGUGGGGAAUAUUGCACAAUGGGGGAAACCCUGAUGCAGCGACGCCGCGUGAAGGAAGAAGUAUCUCGGUAUGUAAACUUCUAUCAGCAGGGAAGAUAGUGACGGUACCUGACUAAGAAGCCCCGGCUAACUACGUGCCAGCAGCCGCGGUAAUACGUAGGGGGCAAGCGUUAUCCGGAUUUACUGGGUGUAAAGGGAGCGUAGACGCUCUGCGCAAGUCUGAUGUGAAAGGCAUGGGCUCAACCUGUGGACUGCAUUGGAAACUGUCAUACUUGAGUGCCGGAGGGGUAAGCGGAAUUCCUAGUGUAGCGGUGAAAUGCGUAGAUAUUAGGAGGAACACCAGUGGCCAAGGCGGCUUACUGGACGGUAACUGACGUUGAGGCUCGAAAGCGUGGGGAGCAAACAAGAUUAGAUACCCUGGUAGUCCACGCCGUAAACG